rnacentral:misc_RNA from 1 species
GAUGAAGAACGUAGCGAAAUGCGAUAAGUAAUGUGAAUUGCAGAAUUCAGUGAAUCAUCGAAUCUUUGAACGCACAUUGCGCCCGCCAGUAUUCUGGCGGGCAUGCCUGUUCGAGCGUCAUUACAACCCUCAGGCCCCCGGGCCUGGCGUUGGGGAUCGGCGGAAGCCCCCUGUGGGCACACGCCGUCCCUCAAAUACAGUGGCGGUCCCGCCGCAGCUUCCAUUGCGUAGUAGCUAACACCUCGCAACUGGAGAGCGGCGCGGCCAUGCCGUAAAACACCCAACUUCUGAAUGUUGACCUCGAAUCAGGUAGGAAUAACCGCUGAACUUAAGCAUAUCAAUAAGCGGAGGA